rfam:Triticum aestivum genome assembly, contig: Triticum_aestivum_CS42_TGACv1_scaffold_146500_2BS
UUACUACUCCCUCCGUCCGAAAAAAAGCUUGGGACCAAGCUUGUGCCUUAAAUGGAUGUAUCUAGCACUAACUUGGUGCUAGAUACAUCCAUUUGAGGGACAAGCUUUUUCGGACGAAGGAAGUACAAC